rnacentral:pre_miRNA from 14 species
UUCUUAGAAUGAACUGAAAGAUCCCACGCAGAGAGACCCUUACUCAAGUCUUGGGAAAUCGCGGACCCCAGACACAGAGACACCA